GUCUCCAAGUUGGUAGGAUCCUACCUCAGAGACCAUUUAGUCCAACCCAUACCUGAAGUAUGAAUUUCUCUCCACAAUAUCGAUGGAAAUACACCCAGAUUAAAACAGCCCAAGAGUGAAAUGGGCUGCUCCAUGAAGUAGCAAACUUUCUGUUCCUGGAGUUCUUCAAAUGACUCUAUGACCACUUGAUAAGAACUUUGGAAAGAGAAUUCCUCCUUAGACUGCAUUGGUUGUCAGCAUCAAAAUGAGUCACAGCCUUGUCCCAGCAGUCGGAGAAUUGCUAACAACCAAGUAAUUGGGAUAGUUG